GGCCCUUGAGGUUGCCGCUACUAGAAGUCCCAUUGCUCGAGCUUCUCUGUUAGAAACAAGGAAGCUUAUAGCUGAAGCAAUACAAUCAAUUGAAUCCAUAGAUAUUGAACAAAUGGCAUCCCCACAGACCGAAGAACCGAAUGCAGCAGCCUCCUACAACUACGAAGUGGGCACCCCAAACAACGAGGGAGGGUCACUAGGUGGCAAAGAAGACCAAAAUAGAGCAGUUCAAACAAUAGCAAAUGGAACCCAGUUGUUUCCAUCGAGCAUAGAUGAGGAUUUUGAUUUCAGUAAG
rnacentral:misc_RNA from 1 species